GAGUCAUUAGCUCAGUUGGUUUAGAGCACUAGCUUGACAGGCUAGGGGUCAUAGGUUCAAAUCCUAUAUGGCUCAC
rnacentral:tRNA from 1 species